UUAAGUGAUGAAAGUGAGAUAUAGAAGGCAAAAUAGGUUAAGUAGUGAAAAAUAGUACAAUGUCGAUUACUAGUAUUUCGGUGUAAAAUUGAGUAUUUAUGGAUUUACCAAAUGUAAUCGAGGUAUGAUUAAGGUCUCAUUGAUGAUGUAAAAAUGGUUUUAGAACCAUUAGAUCAAUUCUUGAUGGGAGGUAUACAUAAUCAGUGGUAUUGAUGCAAAGUCAAAACGAGCUUAGCAUAAGUGCGCUACGCUCGAUCGGGUAAGCAUAACUAUUGGGUAUGAAGUCAUAUGGACCUAAGGUUUGGUGUGAGUGUUUUACAUAUAAGGAUAAUAGGCCUAGCAGAUGAUUAAGUCGAAAUUAUUGAAGUGAUAAGGUUUUCAUAAGUCAAAAGGUGAAAUGAUGAGAUGAAAUGUGUCAAAUUUUGAUACAAUAAGGCUAAAUCAUUGAAAAUAAAGAAUUUUUCAUCAACCUUAUCACUUUGCACGACCAUUACUCUGAAAAACAGAGAGAAAAGAAAACCAAAAACCAUUUCUUGGCUAGUUUGAAGAAAUUCUAAGGAGAUCCAAGUGAAAGCAAAGCCAAAGAAGUAGAUUAAGCUUAGUUCUAGCCUUUUUAUGAUAUUUCUUGGGGUUUCCAAGUGGUUUGAGGUUUAGAAAAGCUUGAAGAGAGUGUUUUCGCCGAAAAGUUGCUCGGAUAAGCACAUCAAUACCUAAGACACCACUUGUUACACGGUGAAUUAUAUUUUGGACAGAAGGUAGAGAAAGAAAUGUGUGAAUGACAUGAGGAGAACUGAAGCAUGGUCCUGACCCUGAUUUGUACAUAUGAACAUAUCGACCUUUUUGUGGGUUAUUUCAGUUAUCAGUGAGAUGUUUGUAAUAAAGUGUGAAGUUAUGUUUUGAAAAUAAAUUGGGUUAUUUAAUACUUAUGUAUAAUAUGUUUGAGACACACUUUAUGUUUAAUGUAAAUAAUGUGAAAUAAGUUUUCAAGUUUUAAAAAAAAAAU